rnacentral:lncRNA from 1 species
AUUGAUUCAACACUUAGAUGUUUUGAAAUUCAUGUUUUCAUUAGAGUUAUAGUGUUCUGUAAUUUUUUUUGUUGAACAAUAUUAGAAAUAUCUAAACUUUUACCAUUAACUCGAGGUGUUGAUUUGAAAGUGUUUUCUUCAGGCCAAUAGUUUCUCGAUAAAGGAAUAAUUUGGUCCAUCCCAGAUGAAGGAACAAUAGGAACAUUGCUAGAUGAUGGAAGAUCGGGGUCGUUGCUUGUAGGAUUAACCUGAAAAUAAAUGAAGAUAUUCAAAAACUAUUUAAUAAGUAUUAUAUCGUCGUAUAGUUUAAUUAAAAAUUAAAAACAUUAAUAUGCAUAAACAUCUCUAUUAAACUCACUGGUGAUACAAUAUCCGAAACUUGAUCACAACACCAGAUAAGAUAACCCGAAAUAAGUGGCAGGUACCUGUAUAGGCAAUGGGAGACCCUGGUCGACUUUAUACGGAUGUCGACCCCUGCAGGACAACUUAUGUCUAGUCGACUUCGUGGAAGUCGAGGCCUGAAAGUCGGAUCUGAGGAAGUCGACCCCACUAAGUCGACCCGGGUCAGAUCUAGGCAGUUAGGCAGUUAGAGCCCUAAUGACCAGAUUACCCCAUAAGGACCCUAUAAAUAGGGAUCACCACCACUCAUUGAAGGUUAGGUUGAUUGGAGUGGAGAGAACCCCUGCCAGAAUACGUCUGAGUAACUGGAGUGUCUGAGCUGUCCUGGCGAAGCUCCUGACCCAACGCUUGUUCGUAGUGUCGUCCGAGCACAGAUCGGGAACCACCCUUAUUACUCAUGUACAUUAUGAAUAUGUUCAAAUAACCGUUGUUCCAUCACUUGAAUACGUUUUCCAUGUUAUAUUUCCAACGUUUCCAUUCUUUAUUCAAUGGUUUUGAAAACUGCAAUUCAAACUCUUUAGUGUUCUGCUUUUCAAUUUCCUCAUUGCUCACUUUCCUUAUCUUUUAUUUGAUAAAAUCGAUUCAUUACCAACUCUAAAUCCCAGAAUACGACCAUUUUUCUUUUCCUUUUGAUGCUUUAAGCCAUGGUUCAAUAUGAUCGUUUUUAAAGAGAGACUUAUUAUGAAAUGAAGUUGAACCUUAAGACGAUAAAUUUUCAUCUUCGCUAUCUUCAUCCGAAUCAGAAUCACUAUCUUCUUUUCUUUGAAACUCUUCAUUCAAAUUUUCAUAUUUUCUUUAAGUUUUUCCUUGAGAUCGAAGACGAUGCAAAAUUUGAAAAUGAGAAGACGAUGCAAAAUAUAAAAAGAAAAAAAAAAUGAUUAAUACAUUAAUAAAAAAAAUUUGCUUAUUAUUUCAUGAAAAAAUGAUUAAAAACAUAUCAAGUGCUAUAUCUUAUUGGAAUCAUCGAUUGCAUACAUAGUUUAAAAGGCAGUAAAUCAUACAAAGUUUUUUUAUUCAGUUUAUGAAAUUUAUGUUUUUGAAGAUGGGCUAGAUUUAUGUAAUUAGAAUUUUAUUCAGUUUUCCUAAUUUUAGACUAUCAUGAUAAAAUAAAAUACAAUCACACAACCAAAUGAAUUUAAAAAAUAGUUGACUUAGUAGCAAAUGGAAUUUGGAUUAUAUUGAGGUUAUAACUUUUUUGUGAGCUACAUUAGGAUAAUGUUUUGUAUUUAUCAUGAUAAAUAAGGAUAGAAAUGUAGAACACCCAAAAAGAAAAUAUUAAGAAUUAAAUUACAAACAAUGACCAGGGAAUUGAAAGUAGUAUUCCAUGUUUUAAAAUCUGAAACAGUUAUCAAAAUCUUAAAAUUCCGAAGCAAGAAACUUGGAAGUAGAUGCACAAAACUUACUCUCGAUCGGGCCAAUCUACCAAUGUCGAAUCCUGCAACGUACCAACUCUGCCCAACAAAGACAGUAGAUGCAAAGGUAGACAGCUCCGACGGAAGAGAUGAGGAGAACUCACCAGCGGACUAGAUGAAGAGAACUCGCCGGCGGAAGAGAUGAAGAGUGAUCGUCCGCAAGAGAUUUGGGGAUUUGGAGAGAAAUUUGGGCAAAAGAUCUUGGAGUUUUGGAGACAAUUUUUUAGGGAUUUUGGGGAUUUAUUAAAUAGGGAUUUGUGGUUUUAUAAAAAUACAUUAUUUUAUAAAGGGAAUUUUAUAUAAAUACAUUAUAUUUAUAAAUGACUACUCAUUAUUAGUGAUGAUAAAUUUUAAAUCGUUGCUAAUUAUUGUAUCUAGCGACGAUUAUCAAAAUAUCGUCGCUAAUUAUACAAAAAAAAAGAUAAUUAGCAACGAUAUGAAUAUAUCGUCACUAAC